GGUGCCAUGCUGUGCGUGGGGUGCAGCGCUGUUACCUGCGGCCUGCUGCGGGGGUGUUCUGUGCAGAGCAGUUCUGCACUGUUGUCUUUAGUGGGGGGGGGGGGAUGGUGUGUCCGCAGUGACCCCCUGCCAGGGGCUUGGAUUGAUUUACACCCUCACUUUCCUUCCUGGGCCCGUGGAGGGUUUGCGUUCAGCUCCCCUUGCCAAGCACUGUUGUGUGAGGUGGGGAGAGUGGCUGUUUGUGCAGGGUUCGGGGCUUGGAUUGAUUUACACCCUCACUUUCCUUCCUGGGGCCGUGGAGGGUUUGCGUUCAGCUCCCCUUGCCAAGCACUGUUGUGUGUAGGGUGGGGAGAGGUGGGGAGAGUGGCUGUUUGUGCGGGGUUAGGGGCUUGGACUGAUCCCGUUAUGUGGUAACCAGGGGCCUGGCACCCUGUGUUUCUGCACUGCACAGUUAAUGGGGGGUGCCAGCCCCUACUGACAGCUCUGUACCUUGCCUGCUAACCUCACUGCAUGUGGAGGUGCCGCUUCUCCUGAGGGCGAAGACAUUGUCUGCUGUUUGCUUCACGAGGUGGAUUGGGAGUGCCAGACACUGCCGGUGUAUUUGUGGAGUGGGCCUUUUUUUAAACAAUGCGUUAAAUGUGGAUGCGCUGCCUCUGGGAUUCCUGUGUUAGGUGGGGAGUUUAUGCAGUUGAUGGCUUGGGUUUAUUUACACAAUCAGUUUCUAUCAUGCCCUUCCUUUUGGGGGAUGCCCUUAUUUUAGCCACUUUUGGCUGUCAGGGCAUGUGUUUUGGGUGCUUUUUAUUUGCCUUUGGUGAGAAGAUGCUGGAUCUGCCCCCACGUGUUGGCGGUGUGAGCAUGGGAACUCAGACCUGCCCCUGCUGUGAGGGGGUGUUUGAGAGGUAGGGCUGUGCUGUCACUGCAGUUGUGCCUUGCGGCAGGGUCAUUGGAGUGGGGUCUGGGCUGGGGGGGGGGGUGAGUUUUCUGGGCAGUCAUGCUUGUGGCAAAGGGAGGAGGGCUGCAGUGGGGGUGAGUCAGGCACAUGGCAGCCCUGGCCAGUUUGCCCGCUUGCCCCUGGCCUGCUCCCACCACUGUUCACUAGCCCUGCCCCUCUGAGAGAGAAGGGAGGUUGCUCCUAGUCCCUGGAGGUAGAAAGACUGGGUUCAUGGGUUCAUGUUAGGACAAGAAGAAGGGGUCAUUAGGAACAGAUCUGAUUUGUACGACAUAGAGGAUUCUCCUCAGUGGUCCCUGCUUCCUGCCCCCUUGUUAUCUGGAGUGGCUGAGAGGGAACAGGUGUGAGGUCAACCCUUUGGGAUUGCAUACAGCCUCAGCUUGUCUCCAGACUCCCCAAGGGGACACUGAACCCAACCCAAACAGAAGCAGUAAGCGUCUCAGGUGUGGACUAGAUCUGCUAAGUGGCUUUUCAGCUCGGCUCCAGUGAUCCCCUCCUCCAUUGUCCAUUGCUGAGUAAUGGGCUCCUGGCUCUCAUCAGGCAGAGGGUGUGGAGCAGGAUGGUGUAUUGGCAACAGGGCUCUGUGGGGUGGUGCAGCACUGGAGCAGAUGGACCCCUCUGUGCAGCACUGUCCCCUGUGUGGGAAAGGGGGAGUGACCCUCACCCUCUCCUCCUGGGAAUUAUUCCUGGCUAAUCAGAGGUACAGAGAUUCCUGUCCCUUUAUCCUUGGUAUCUGAGUGUGUCCACAGAGCCUGGGGAAUCCCCCACACAGGGCCUCCUGCCCAUGACAGAUGAGCUGUCAGCGACAUGACCCUGAUGUGUCAGCGCAGGGCAUUCUGGCAGGGAGUUCUGGCCCCCCAGGGAAGGCAGGAAUUGUCAGAGCUAGUCCCCUGGCAAAGACCACUUGCCCUGGAGUUGAGUAGUAGUUGCUUACGGAGGGGUGAAGUGGUGAUUUUGCUAGGUGUCUCCCAAGUGUUUCAGAGGCUCCUGACUCCACCCCCGCCUGCCCCCAUUUCUUGUUAAGCAGGAUGCAAGCUCUGAACUGGGAUUGUAACACCAGUUUGGUUCCCCUGGUUUUUGCAGGGCUGAUUAGAGGCUCUAUAGCAACCUGGUAACACAGUCCCAGCCCGUCAGUGCCUUGCUGUGUGCACCUCUGAGGAGAGUGGUGGGGAUGUCUGGUUUGGCCCUGGGGAUGCUGUUCCCCUGAGUGUAUUCAUUGGCCAGCUCUGGCUAGUUUGCACAGCUCUGUACAGAAGCUCCCUGACUUACGCAUAAGUCGAAUUUUGCGUAAGUCGGGAACCUAUCUCCGACAAUUAUGCGCC